rnacentral:lncRNA from 1 species
CACGGGCACAGCCGCGUCCAAAAAACAGCCCCCGAAGUUGGGGGUCCCAAGACACCCCAGCGGAAAAAUGGCCAAAAAACGGUGGGUUAUAGCCUUGGUGGGGGGCGUGGGCGAAGUUCGUCCGCGGGACUCGGAAUGGCACCAGACUUGGCGGGCGGCCUCCGUGUGCCGAAAAUAGGCCACGGGCACAGCCGCGCCCAAAAAACAACCCCCGAAGUUCGGGGUCCCAAGACCCCCCAGCGGAAAAAUGGCCAAAAAACGGUGGGCUAUAGCCUUGGUGGGGGGCGUGGGCGAAGUUCGUCCAUGGGACUCGGAAUGGCACCAGAGUUGGCGGGCGGCCUCCGUGUGCCAAAAAUAGGCCACGGGCACAGCCGCGCCCAAAAAACAGCCCCCGAAGUUCGGGGUCCCAAGACCCCCCAGCGGAAAAAUGGCCAAAAAACGGGUGGGCUAUAGCCUUGUUGGGGGGCGUGGAUGAAGUUCGUCCGCAGGACUCGGAAUGGCACCAGACUUGGCGGGCGGCCUCCGUGUGCCAAAAAUAGGCCACGGGCACAGCCGCGCCCAAAAAACAGCCCCCGAAGUUCGGGGUCCCAAGACCCCCCAGCGGAAAAAUGGCCAAAAAACGGGUGGGCUAUAGCCUUGUUGGGGGGCGUGGGUGAAGUUCGUCCGCAGGACUCGGAAUGGCACCAGACUUGGCGGGCGGCCUCCGUGUGCCAAAAAUAAGCCACGGGCACAGCCGCGCCCAAAAAACAGCCCCCGAAGUUCGGGGUCCCAAGACCCCCCAGCGGAAAAAUGGCCAAAAAACGGGUGGGCUAUAGCCUUGUUGGGGGGCGUGGGUGAAGUUCGUCCGCAGGACUCGGAAUGGCACCAGACUUGGCGGGCGGCCUCCGUGUGCCAAAAAUAGGCCACGGGCACAGCCGCGCCCAAAAAACAGCCCCCGAAGUUCGGGGUCCCAAGACCCCCCAGCGGAAAAAUGGCCAAAAAACGGUGGGCUAUAGCCUUGGUGGGGGGCGUGGGCGAAGUUCGUCCGUGGGACUCGGAAUGGCACCAGACUUGGCGGGCGGCCUCCGUGUGCCAAAAAUAGGCCACCGGCACAGCCGCGCCCAAAAAACAACCCCCGAUGUUCGGGGUCCCAAGACCCCCAGCGGAAAAAUGGCCAAAAAACGGUGGGCUAAAGCCUUGGUGGGGUGCGUGGGCGAAGUUCGUCCGCGGGACUCGGAAUGGCACCAGACUUGGCGGGCGGCCUCCGUGUGCCAAAAAUAGGCCACGGGCACAGCCGCGCCCAAAAAACAGCCCCCGAAGUUCGGGGUCCCAAGACCCCCCAGCGGAAAAAUGGCCAAAAAAUGGGUGGGCUAUAGCCUUGGUGGGGGGCGUGGGCGAAGUUCGUCCGCGGGACUCGGAAUGGCACCAGACUUGGCGGGCGGCCUCCGUGUGCCAAAAAUAGGCCACGGGCACAGCCGCGCCCAAAAAACAGCCCCCGAAGUUCGGGGUCCCAAGACCCCCCAGCGGAAAAAUGGCCAAAAAACGGGUGGGCUAUAGCCUUGGUGGGGGGCGUGGGCGAAGUUCGUCCGUGGGACUCGGAAUGGCACCAGACUUGGCGGGCGGCCUCCGUGUGCCAAAAAUAGGCCACGGGCACAGCCGCGCCCAAAAAACAACCCCCGAAGUUCGGGGUCCCAAGACCCCCCAGCGGAAAAAUGGCCAAAAAACGGUGGGCUAUAGCCUUGGUGGGGUGCGUGGGCGAAGUUCGUCCGCGGGACUCGGAAUGGCACCAGACUUGGCGGGCGGCCUCCGUGUGCCAAAAAUAGGCCACGGGCACAGCCGGGCCCAAAAAACAGCCCCCGAAGUUCGGGGUCCCAAGACCCCCCAGCGGAAAAAUGGCCAAAAAACGGGUGGGCUAUAGCCUUGGUGGGGGGCGUGGGCGAAGUUCGUCCGCGGGACUCGGAAUGGCACCAGACUUGGCGGGCGGCCUCCGUGUGUCAAAAAUAGGCCACGGGCACAGCCGCGCCCAAAAAACCGCCCCCGAAGUUCGGGGUCCCAAGACCCCCCAGCGGAAAAAUGGCCAAAAAACGGGUCAGCUAUAGCCUUGGUGGGGGGCGUGGGCGAAGUUCGUCCGCGGGACUCGGAAUGGCACCAGACUUGGCGGGCGGCCUCCGUGUGCCAAAAAUAGGCCACGGGCACAGCCGCGCCCAAAAAACAACCCCCGAAGUUUGGGGUCCCAAGACCCCCCAGCGGAAAAAUGGCCAAAAAACGGUGGGCUAAAGCCUUGGUGGGGUGCGUGGGCGAAGUUCGUCCGCGGGACUCGGAAUGGCACCAGACUUGGCGGGCGGCCUCCGUGUGCCAAAAAUAGGCCACGGGCACAGCCGCGCCCAAUAAACAGCCCCCGAAGUUCGGGGUCCCAAGACCCCCCAGCGGAAAAAUGGCCAAAAAACGGUGGGCUAUAGCCUUGGUGGGGGGCGUGGGCGAAGUUCGUCCGCGGGACUCGGAAUGGCACCAGACUUGGCGGGCGGCCUCCGUGUGCCAAAAAUAGGCCACGGGCACAGCCGCGCCCAAAAAACAACCCCCGAAGUUCGGGGUCCCAAGACCCCCCAGCGGAAAAAUGGCCAAAAAACGGUGGGCUAUAGCCUUGGUGGGGUGCAUGGGCGAAGUUCGUCCGCGGGACUCGGAAUGGCACCAGACUUGGCGGGCGGCCUCCGUGUGCCAAAAAUAGGCCACGGGCACAGCCGCGCCCAAAAAACAGCCCCCGAAGUUCGGGGUCCCAAGACCCCCCAGCGGAAAAAUGGCCAAAAAACAGUGGGCUAUAGCCUUGGUGGGGUGCGUGGGCGAAGUUCGUCCGCGGGACAAGGAAUGGCACCAGACUUGGCGGGCGGCCUCCGUGUGCCAAAAAUAGGCCACGGGCACAGCCGCGCCCAAAAAACAGCCCCCGAAGUUCGGGGUCCCAAGACCCCCCAGCGGAAAAAUGGCCAAAAAACGGGUGGGCUAUAGCCUUGGUGGGGGGCGUGGGCGAAGUUCGUCCGCGGGACUCGGAAUGGCACCAGACUUGGCGGGCGGCCUCCGUGUGCCAAAAAUAGGCCACGGGCACAGCCGCGCCGAAAAAACAGCCCCCGAAGUUCGGGGUCCCAAGACCCCCCAGCGGAAAAAUGGCCAAAAAACGGGUGGGCUAUAGCCUUGGUGGGGGGCGUGGGCGAAGUUCGUCCGCGGGACUCGGAAUGGCACCAGACUUGGCGGGCGGCCUCCGUGUGCCAAAAAUAGGCCACGGGCACAGCCGCGUCCAAAAAACAGCCCCCGAAGUUCGGGGUCCCAAGAUCCCCCAGCGGAAAAAUGGCCAAAAAACGGUGGGCUAUAGCCUUGGUGGGGGGCGUGGGCGAAGUUCGUCCGCGGGACUCGGAAUGGCACCAGACUUGGCGGGCGGCCUCCGUGUGCCAAAUAUAGGCCAGGGGCACAGCCGCGCCCAUAAAAACAACCCCCGAAGUUCGGGGUCCCAAGACCCCCCAGCGGAAAAAUGGCCAAAAAACGGUGGGCUAAAGCCUUGGUGGGGUGCGUGGGCGAAGUUCGUCCGCGGGACUCGGAAUGGCACCAGACUUGGCGGGCGGCCUCCGUGUGCCAAAAAUAGGCCACGGGCACAGCCGCGCCCAAAAAACAGCCCCCGAAGUUCGGGGUCCCAAGACCCCCCAGCGGAAAAAUGGCCAAAAAACGGGUGGGCUAUAGCCUUGUUGGGGGGCGUGGGCGAAGUUCGUCCGCGGGACUUGGAAUGGCACCAGACAUGGCGGGCGGCCUCCGUGUGCCAAAAAUAGGCCACGGGCACAGCCGCGCCCAAAAAACAGCCCCCGAAUUUCGGGGUCCCAAGACCCCCCAGCGGAAAAAUGGCCAAAAAACGGGUGAGCUAUAGCCUUGGUGGGGGGCGUGGGCGAAGUUCGUCCGCGGGACUCGGAAGUGCACCAGACUUGGCGGGCGGCCUCCGUGUGCCAAAAAUAGGCCACGGGCACAGCCGCGCCCAAAAAACAGUCCCCAAAGUUCGGGGUCCCAAGACCCCCCAGCGGAAAAAUGGCCAAAAAACGGGAGGGCUAUAGCCUUGGAGGGGGGCGUGGGCGAAGUUCGUCCGCGGGACUCGGAAUGGCACCAGACUUGGCGGGCGGCCUCCGUGUGCCAAAAAUAGGCCACGGGCACAAUCGCGCCCAAAAAACAGCCCCCGAAGUUCGGGGUCCCAAGACCCCCCAGCGGAAAAAUGGCCAAAAAACGGGUGGGCUAUAGCCUUGGUGGGGGGCGUGGGCGAAGUUCGUCCGCGGGACUCGGAAUGGCACCAGACUUGGCGGGCGGCCUCCGUGUGCCAAAAAUAGGCCACGGGCACAGCCGCGCCAAAAAAACAGCCCCCGAAGUUCGGGGUCCCAAGACCCCCCAGCGGAAAAAUGGCCAAAAAACGGGUGGGCUAUAGCCUUGGUGGGGGGCGUGGGCGAAGUUCGUCCGCGGGACUCGGAAUGGCACCAGACUUGGCGGGCGGCCUCCGUGUGCCAAAAAUAGGCCACGGGCACAGCCGCGCCCAAAAAACAGCCCCCGAAGUUCGGGGUCCCAAGACCCCCUAGCGGAAAAAUGGCCAAAAAACGGGUGGGCUAUAGCCUUGGUGGGGGGCGUGGGCGAAGUUCGUCCGCGGGACUCGGAAUGGCACCAGACUUGGCGGGCGGCCUCCGUGUGCCAAAAAUAGGCCACGGGCACAGCCGCGCCCAAAAAACAACCCCCGAAGUUCGGGGUCCCAAGACCCCCCAGCGGAAAAAUGGCCAAAAAACGGUGGGCUAUAGCCUUGGUGGGGUGCGUGGGCGAAGUUCGUCCGCGGGACUCGGAAUGGCACCAGACUUGGCGGGCGGCCUCCGUGUGCCAAAAAUAGGCCACGGGCACAGCCGCGCCCAAAAAACAACCCCCGAAGUUCGGGGUCCCAAGACCCCCCAGCGGAAAAAUGGCCAAAAAACGGUGGGCUAUAGCCUUGGUGGGGUGCGUGGGCGAAGUUCGUCCGCGGGACUCGGAAUGGCACCAGACUUGGCGGGCGGCCUCCGUGUGCCAAAAAUAGGCCACGGGCACAGCCGCGCCCAAAAAACAGACCCCGAAGUUCGGGGUCCCAAGACCCCCCAGCGGAAAAAUGGCCAAAAAACGGUGGGCUAUAGCCUUGGUGGGGGGCGUGGGCGAAGUUCGUCCGCGGGACUCGGAAUGGCACCAGACUUGGCGGGCGGCCUCCGUGUGCCAAAAAUAGGCCACGGGCACAGCCGCGCCCAAAAAACAGCCCCCGAAGUUCGGGGUCCCAAGACCCCCCAGCGGAAAAAUGGCCAAAAAACGGGUGGGCUAUAGCCUUGGUGGGGGGCGUGGGCGAAGUUCGUCCGCGGGACUCGGAAUGGCACCAGACUUGGCGGGCGGCCUCGGUGUGCCAAAAAUAGGCCACGGGCACAGCCGCGCCCAAAAAACAGCCCCCGAAGUUGGGGGUCCCAAGACCCCCCAGCGGAAAAAUGGCAAAAAAACGGUGGGCUAUAGCCUUGGUGGGGGGCGUGGGCGAAGUUCGUCCGUGGGACUCGGAAUGGCACAAGACUUGGCGGGCGGCCUCCAUGUGCCAAAAAUAGGCCACGGGCACAGCCGCGCCCAAAAAACAGCCCCCGAAGUUCGGGUCCCAAGACCCCCCAGCGGAAAAAUGGCCAAAAAACGGGUGGGCUAUAGCCUUGGUGGGGGGCGUGGGCGAAGUUCGUCCGCGGGACUCGGAAUGGCACCAGACUUGGCGGGCGGCCUCCGUGUGCCAAAAAUAGGCCACGGGCACAGCCGCGCCCAAAAAACAGCCCCCGAAGUUCGGGGUCCCAAGACGCCCCAGCGGAAAAAUGGCCAAAAAACGGGUGGGCUAUAGCCUUGGUGGGGGGCGUGGGCGAAGUUCGUCCGCGGGACUCGGAAUGGCACCAGACUUGGCGGGCGGCCUCCGUGUGCCAAAAAUAGGCCACGGGCACAGCCGCGCCCAAAAAACAGCCCCCGAAGUUCGGGGUCCCAAGACCCCCCAGCGGAAAAAUGGCCAAAAAACGGGUGGGCUAUAGCCUUGGUGGGGGGCGUGGGCGAAGUUCGUCCGCGGGACUCGGAAUGGCACCAGACUUGGCGGGCGGCCUCCGUGUGCCAAAAAUAGGCCACGGGCACAGCCGCGCCCAAAAAACAGCCCCCGAAGUUCGGGGUCCCAAGACCCCCCAGCGGAAAAAUGGCCAAAAAACGGGUGGGCUAUAGCCUUGGUGGGGGGCGUGGGCGAAGUUCGUCCGCGGGACUCGGAAUGGCACCAGACUUGGCGGGCGGCCUCCGUGUGCCAAAAAUAGGCCACGGGCACAGCCGCGCCCAAAAAACAGCCCCCGAAGUUCGGGGUCCCAAGACCCCCCAGCGGAAAAAUGGCCAAAAAACGGUGGGCUAAAGCCUUGGUGGGGGGCGUGGGCGAAGUUCGUCCGUGGGACUCGGAAUGGCACAAGACUUGGCGGGCGGCCUCCAUGUGCCAAAAAUAGGCCACGGGCACAGCCGCGCCCAAAAAACAGCCCCCGAAGUUCGAGGUCCCAAGACCCGCCAGCGGAAAAAUGGCCAAAAAACGGGUGGGCUAUAGCCUUGGUGGGGGGCGUGGGCGAAGUUCGUCCGCGGGACUCGGAAUGGCACCAGACUUGGCGGGCGGCCUCCGUGUGCCAAAAAUAGGCCACGGGCACAGCCGCGCCCAAAAAACAGCCCCCGAAGUUCGGGGUCCCAAGACCCCCCAGCGGAAAAAUGGCCAAAAAACGGUGGGCUAUAGCCUUGGUGGGGGGCGUGGGCGAAGUUCGUCCGCGGGACUCGGAAUGGCACCAGACUUGGCGGGCGGCCUCCGUGUGCCAAAAAUAGGC